rnacentral:rRNA from 1 species
UCUGCCUUCAAGACGGGAAUAACAUUGCGAAAGCGAUGCUAAUACCGGAUAAGCUCACGAUUUGAUUGGUUGUGGGAAAAGAUGGCCUAGUCUAUGCUAUCGCUUGAAGAUGAGUCCGCGUACCAUUAGCUUGUUGGUAGGGUAAUGGCCUACCAAGGCAUCGAUGGUUAGCUGGCCUGAGAGGGCGGCCAGCCACACUGGAACUGAGACACGGUCCAG